AUGAGAGAAUGUGUGAAACAUUAGUGCAAAUUUUGUUUUCUUUUCUUUACAGUUUUGCUCAUGGUACAUACAUUCAAUGAAGGUUUUAUAUACCUCUGGGUCCUCUCCUGGCCACCACUGGGCUGUUUUCUAAACCAGUGUGAUGCCUCAGGUGCAGAAGAGAGAGACAAUAAUUAACAAUGUGGCCUGCAGCAUCUUGGGGAACAAUUAAUUUUAGUGAAUGGACAAGGGGAGGAAGUGGGAAGAUUCAGGCAGCGAUUAUUACUUAAGACACCAUCUCUUUGAAGAGUAUAUAUGCAAUAAUGCUCCAUUUCAGGUUCUAAAUAAGGAACGGUCAGAUCCAUGCAGAUCAUCAGCACAGAGGAGGAAGAUCCAUUUGGAGUAACACCUCUCCAUGUUUCAGACCAUCAUUCUGAAACUCUGGCACUGGGCUUGAGCAGUUCGGAUCGCAGCCUGCCCCUGAGGGAAGAGCUGGAAGGGACAGCUACCACAGCCGGCAGGACUCUGCCCCGCGGUUCAUCGUCGUGUUCGCGGCGCAGUGGAACGCUUUGCGGAACUCCUCGAAGUUGCUCAUGGCUCCGAUUACUCUGCAAAGAGAAAAGUGAUUGACGUGCAGGUUGCCUUUUGUCAAACACUACAGCCUGAUGCCUUCAGGAGUUUUCCUAAUAAAUACUCUAUCCCUAGAGUUCCAUGUGUAUCACCAUCUCAUGGGAAUGGAGCAAUGAAAUGAUUCAGAAUAUAUACAUACAAGUAAAUAAAUCUGAAGAAUUUAAAAGACAACAGAUGGUUAUUUUACCAAAAUCUUAACACAGGUAGGUAUUAUGAAAAUAAUAUCUCUGUAGGCUGAAGGUCAACCUGAUGCUCCUGUCCUCAUUGUCAUUAUGUAUUUUCAAUAUUAAAAGCCACACAGAUUUGCAUACUGAACUACUUUUACUCUCACUAACUGGUAUAACACUCUUUUAGUCAACAAAAACUGGUAGGAUUUUCUGGAAGGUAAAUAAUCCACUGUAUUUUGUGAAUUUUGUCCAAAUAAAGAGGUAAUGUAGUACUUGACCAAGGGCAAACACAGAAUUCUUAGUUAAGUAAAUGCAACCAACAUGUUCUUGGUGAAGAAAAAUAAACUCUGGCUUCCUAAUUCCUGUUUAGUCUCUAAAACUUUCCCCCUUCCUAUUGCAGGGAGUUCAUGAGUGUCUGUGGCUAGAGGAGCCUGUGGGAGACCUUUUGGCAAGGAGAGUUUCCCUCUGUUAUGGCUGGACAAGCACAGCUCCUUCAAGCAAAGUGUCACUUGAAGGCCAGUGGAAGAGUUUGGUCUUGAACUGAACUCACAGGACACAUUUUGCUUUGCAUUAUCAAUGUAAUUCAAGGUUGAGACUUAGGAGCUUUUAAUGAACUCAGGCAGAUUAAAUCAAGGACCCUCCUUAUAUUCACUGUUUUCUAAACUAGAAUUGCUUAGGGCAAGAAAGUGAUAGAUGAGGCAUUUUAGGUACUCAGACCAUGAUUACAGGAAUCACAGGGAUCAGAGUGUGUUCUGGUUCAAAUGCUUUUGAAGGUGGAUGCAAGCUCCUCAAUUUCACAGAAGAGCAUUUAUAAUAGUGAAAGAUAAGCUAAUAAAACCAGUUCAAUUUCCAUCUAAACCAAGAGCACAGUCCAAUUUUGUGUUUGCUCUUAACCCCCUCUUAAAAUGCUAUAUUUCUGCACUUCUGUUCUGCAGUGAUUGAUUCUGUGUGUACACUGAGGAAAUACCAUAUUUGCACUACCUGAACUGAGGAGGGCUGUGAGCUCCAGUAUAUAUUUGCUCCCUCGCAGAUUCUGGUCUAAAGGAGUUGCAUCUUACCUAAUAAAAUAAAAUUAAAAAAUUAAAAAGAACAGAAAAAAACUCAUUAUCUGUGAUGACUUUUUAUAUACAGCAAAAUGUAAUGUCACUGUUCUUAAGAUGUUUACUACUUAUAGAAUGCAUAAAACAGAAAGACACCAUAAAUUCCUGCUUUGUUUCACCUUUGCCAAUCUGCAGAUUUCUUUUGUUAUAUUCUCUUGCUUUUCAAAUCCCUUAAUGGAUCCAGUGUCCACCCACUGUUUUUCUCUACACACUUUCAUAUCAUCUAGUCAGUCACUUUGCUAGUUCUUUUUUUGAAGUUCUCAAUAAUGGUAGCUUGUCUUUCAGCUUGUUCUGCAGCAUCUCGCACCUUAAUAAUUACCAAACAUGCUUCUUGGUCCCAAAACUAUGUAAUGUGUAUAAAAGGUACACAUAAUGAUGCUUAUCAUCUCUAGAAUUGCUGCUAUAUUACCUAAUAUAUUUAUGCCAUGUUGGAA